CCUACGGGAGACAGCAGUGGGGAAUAUUGCGCAAUGGGCGAAAGCCUGACGCAGCGACGCCGCGUGAGGGAUGAAGGUCUUCGGAUCGUAAACCUCUGUCAGCAGGGAAGAACGGUCACUGUGCUAAUCAGCAGUGAAUUGACGGUACCUGCAAAGGAAGCACCGGCUAACUUCGUGCCAGCAGCCGCGGUAAUACGGAGGGUGCGAGCGUUAAUCGGAAUUACUGGGCGUAAAGCGCUCGUAGGCGGUAUGUCAAGUCAAGGGUGAAAUCUCCGCGCUCAACGUGGGAACUGCCUUUGAAACUGGCAAACUGGAGUGUGUGAGAGGAUAGUGGAAUUCCAAGUGUAGGAGUGAAAUCCGUAGAUAUCUGGAGGAACAUCAGUGGCGAAGGCGACUAUCUGGCACAUAACUGACGCUGAGGAGCGAAAGCGUGGGUAGCAAACAGGAUUAGAUACCCCAGUAGUC
rnacentral:rRNA from 1 species